ensembl:piRNA 21ur-12958 ncRNA
UUCGGUUAUCGAUGAUUUAUA